UGAAGGGUCUUUCUCUGGCAAUUGCUUCUCUUGGAGUUUUUCCUGCAAGCUUAGGAUACAGCUUCCAUGGAAAUCUUUCAGAGUAUUUACUUUCAGAGACACCUACAAAGAUCAGCAGACUACUCUUCCAAAGGAGCAGUAAUCAUAGGAUAUUCUCUGAAGGAUUAAUCGGAUUUCAAGGAACAGAUAAUCCACCACGUGGCAACUUUUCUCCUCAGCAGUUUUUCCUACUAAUUCUAAUGAUGAACAGGAACCAGUGAACAACCAUGACUGUCAUAUUGCAUAUUGUUUAUAAAGGCAUGACUGUAUUUCCGUAAACUACUACAUAUCAUACAAAUCACUGUGGUUUUCCUUUUCUGGCAAAAUGCCCAGUCACUAGGUUGAAACAAUAUUGAACUCCUGGUGUUGCACAUAGAAAACUCUGAAGCAAAGAUGGUACAUCAGCAAACAAGUAACUGUUCAUUCUGACCAUUCAGAGAAGGACCUGGUUAGCAGCAAGUUAUUCCAGCGUGCCUUUGCGAUACUGAAAAUGACUUAAAUUGCAAAUGGUUUGGCAAGCUCUUUCCUUCAUCUAACUCUAUUGACUUUUGCCUUGAGAUCAGGGAGAAUAAUGACUAGAAAUCAGCUGUAGCCUUGAAAUUUAAUCUAAAUUUUUGCUUGGAAGUGAGUCUGAUACAAGCUAUCUUUCUUUGUAGCUGUGG